ACGUGGGGUCGCCCCACGUGACUCAAGUUUUUUGGUGGCCGAUUUCAACCGGAACAGAAUUGCUUAGGCUCCUUUGGAUAUCGCGAGAUCUUGUCCUAUAAUUUACUGUCUUCAGAAGGGGACAUUUUUAUCUUGAGCGAGGGGCCUAUCGGGAACACUUUUGACAGGAACAUUGCUGGAGCACCUAAAGUCACAGUGGGAAACCCAGCCCCCUACCAGCGUCCCGCUCCCAGCCAGGGUGGAAGUGCAGCUCACCAGGCCUCCCGAAGCAUCCUUCCUGCGGCUUCUGCCAGUUGAGAAUGGCCUCCAGCCACCGGAGCUUG